rnacentral:tRNA from 1 species
AUUUUCUUAGUAUAAUAGUACAUUUGACUUCCAAUCAAAAAGCCUAGAAUAUCUAGAGAAAAUA